rnacentral:lncRNA from 7 species
GCGGAAACGACCACCUGGCAGCACUCAAAACUCCGCAACCGAACGGCGUUCACCGCUCAGCUCCGCCGCGGUGAGCCGGGAGGGCACCCACCGCCCCCCCAGAAGCGGCACACGGGCGCGACGCACCGCGCUCCGGAACGCGGCAGAGGCGGGAGAGCGGAAAGUUCGGAGGCGGCCCCGCACCGACGGCCCAACGGCACCCCCGCAGCGGCUCCACAGCUGGGCAAGCCCUGAAGUGAUCUGGUUUGCUGGUAAAUCUGUCCUGAGCUGCUUCCUCAGCACAACUGCUGCUUGCUUUCUUCCCCAUCAGAGGCACAUGAAGAAACUCCCGUUCCUUCUGUGGUCCUUGGCUAUGCCAUAGUUACAUGUGCUGCUUUUACAUCUUCACUGCAACAUCUGCUUCCCACACAUUCAUGGAUUGCCCCUGGCCUGACAGACUUUAACUAUCUGCAAAGGAGUGCUCUAAAUUUAAUUUGCAUGCAGGAAUUGGUAAGACCUAAAUUUUACAACAAGGCUCCCUGGACUGACACAGCAAUGCUGAAUGCUACUCUGGUAUGAUGGGGUAAUUAAUCAGUUGCUGGAAACCUUCAACAUGCACUGAACAUCACCCUAGAAAUGAAACAAAGGGGAAAGUUUUGCUGGUGGCAGAAAGGAUAUAAUCUCCUCGUGGAGAUUCAGACUCUUCAUCGUAUGAACCGUUUCAGAGAGGCAGAGAUGAAGGUGCGGAAAGAGGACAGGGCAAGAGGAAGAACGUUGCACGAGGAAGAACCUGGCAGAGGCCAAUCAGUCAAAAAAAAAAGGAAAAACUGUGGCAAGGAAGUAUAUCUAAGGAAGCAAAGAAGGAAAAGAUGCAACUGCUCACCUGGCUGCCACAUCAUUUUCUUUGUCCCACGUGUACCAAUACCAAGAAAACAGGAACAAAAAAUUGAGGCUGAAGGACUGGACAAUCUGUGUCAGUCAUUUAAAUGAAAAAAUAAAGUUCAUUUCCAGUUUGCAAACUUGCAUUACUUACCACAGGCUUUGCUGAGAUGUGGGACCAAACAAUUAAAUUAUUAAAAUAUUGCUUGAC